UGGAGAGGUGUCCGAGUGGUUGAAGGAGCACGCCUGGAAAGCGUGUAUAGUUUAACGGCUAUCGAGAGUUCGAAUCUCUUCCUCUCCGCCAU
rnacentral:tRNA from 1 species